rnacentral:rRNA from 1 species
AGUGAACGCUGGCGGUAGGCCUAACACAUGCAAGUCGAACGGCAGCACAGUAAGAGCUUGCUCUUACGGGUGGCGAGUGGCGGACGGGUGAGGAAUACAUCGGAAUCUACUUUUUCGUGGGGGAUAACGUAGGGAAACUUACGCUAAUACCGCAUACGACCUACGGGUGAAAGCAGGGGAUCUUCGGACCUUGCGCGAUUGAAUGAGCCGAUGUCGGAUUAGCUAGUUGGCGGGGUAAAGGCCCACCAAGGCGACGAUCCGUAGCUGGUCUGAGAGGAGGAUAACCCACCCGAGAACUGAGCCACCGUCCAGGCUCCUACGGGAGGCAGCAGUGGGGAAUAUUGGACAGUGGGCGCAAACCUGAUCCAGCCAGACCGCGUGGGUGAAAGAGGCCUUCCGGUUGUAAAGCCCUUUUGUUGGGAAAGAAAAGCAGCAGGUUAAUACCCCGCUGUUCUGACGGUACCCAAAGAAUAAGCACCGGCUAACUUCGUG